rnacentral:lncRNA from 1 species
CUGUCUGACAUUGAGUGCCUGGAGCCCUCCCUAGCUCUCCAGCUGGAACCUUCCUCUGUAGGAAGGCUGAGGCUAGCAGGGAGAAGCCAGGAUGGAUUUUAAAGAGCCUUGUUGUCUCUAAGGAAGAGUGGAGCUUACAUCUUUGGGUUUGCAGAAAUGCCCACAUUCAACUCAGGGGGAAUAAAAGGAUGGGAGUUAGAAUUUCAACUUGCAGUUGCAGAAUCUCAGAGUUAAAAGAAACCUCAGAGGUCAUCUCUUCCAACCCUUCUCCAGAGCAGCUUUAAUUGCCUGUGUGGGAGAUUCAGGGCCAGCAGCUGCAGCUUCCCUUUCCCUGCCUCUGACUUGCCAGAAUCCUGUUACACCUGGGAUUUAGGCACUUUCAAUCUGAAAAAAUACAUAUCCUUUCAGCACUCUGGACGGACUUGAGAACUGUCCUUACGUGACCUAAAGCUGGAGUAUUUUGAGAUUGGAGAAUUAAGGCCAACAGAGAUUUUGAGAAACACAUUGAAGGAUCUGUUAACACUUGAUAUACCCAAUAAAAGCAGUGGUUGUGCCAGUGCUGAUCUGUCUUGAUGUGAAUGUGAACAAUGGGAACCUGAGCUGAGCAGUUAAUGCUAGGGUGACAGAAACUGGACCUCUCCCAAGACAUGUGACAGAGUAAUACAGCAGCCAACUUCUUCGCCAAAUUAAAGUUUUACAAGAUUUAACCUGUCAUCAAGACCUGGGAUUUUGGUGAGCCAGUCUUGGUGCUCUGUGUUCACCUGGUUCAUCUGAGGAGCUGCAUCUACCCUGCCCAUGCCAUAGAUCCUGCCCUGUUUGCUUCUCCUGUUGCUGCUAGUGGACAUGAGAAGGACAGAAUAACGGGCUCCCAGAUUCACAAGCCCCACCAAGAGGAUCACCCCAGGAACGCUUGGAGGCUGAGGAGUUCACUGAGGCUACUGCAUCUUGAGACUCAGGAUGAAGACCCAGCUUGGGGCUGUCAAAGAGGCCUGAAGAGGCAGAACACCCCAGAGGAGCCUGGGGCCACCACCCAGCAUCACUGUGGGAAAACGGCAGCAGGAAAUGUCCUCUCGCCUGCGUGCUCCACCUCGGUCCACGCCUUCCCUCCUUCUGGAAGCCUUGCCUGACCACUGGCCUGCCCCUUCUAUGGGAAUCACUACUGACCUUGCAGCUUAUUAUAGACUUAUAUGUUUUUUGCAUGUCUGACACCCAUGACUCCACCUGGACCUUAUGGCUCCACCCAGAAGCAAUUCAGCCCAACAGGAGGACAGCUUCAACCCAUUACGAUUUCAUCUCUGCCCCAACCACUCAGCAGCAAGCACCUGUUACCUGUCCACCCCCACCCCUUCCCCCAAACUGCCUUUGAAAAAUCCCUAACCUAUGAGCUUUGAAUAAGAUGAGUACGAACUUCAUCGCCCACGUGGCGUGGCCGGCCUCGUGUCUAUUAAAUUCUUUUUCUACUACAA